rnacentral:rRNA from 1 species
CCUACGGGAGGCAGCAGUGGGGAAUAUUGGACAAUGGGCGAAAGCCUGAUCCAGCAAUGCCGCGUGAGUGAUGAAGGCCUUAGGGUCGUAAAGCUCUUUUACCAGGGAUGAUAAUGACAGUACCUGGAGAAUAAGCUCCGGCUAACUCCGUGCCAGCAGCCGCGGUAAUACGGAGGGAGCUAGCGUUGUUCGGAAUUACUGGGCGUAAAGCGUGCGUAGGCGGUUAUUCAAGUCAGAGGUGAAAGCCCGGGGCUCAACCCCGGAACGGCCUUUGAAACCUAGAUAACUAGAAUCUUGGAGAGGUCAGUGGAAUUCCGAGUGUAGAGGUGAAAUCGUAGAUAUUCGGAAGAACACCAGUGGNGAG